rnacentral:rRNA from 1 species
AACGAACGCUGGCGGCAGGCCUAACACAUGCAAGUCGAACGCCCUAGCAAUAGGGAGUGGCGCACGGGUGCGUAACGCGUGGGAAUAUGCCCUUCACUGCGGAAUAACGUUUGGAAACGAACGCUAAUACCGCAUAAUGACUCCGGUCCAAAGAUUUAUCGGUGAAGGAUUAGCCCGCGUUAGAUUAGCUAGUUGGUGAGGUAAUGGCUCACCAAGGCGACGAUCUAUAGCUGGUCUGAGAGGAUGAUCAGCCACACUGGGACUGAGACACGGCCCAGACUCCUACGGGAGGCAGCAGUGAGGAAUAUUGGACAAUGGGCGCAAGCCUGAUCCAGCCAUGCCGCGUGAGUGAAGAAGGCCUUCGGGUUGUAAAGCUCUUUCAGAUGUGAAGAUAAUGACGGUAGCAUCAGAAGAAGCCCCGGCUAAAUUCGUGCCAGCAGCCGCGGUAAU